rnacentral:rRNA from 1 species
CCUACGGGAGGCUGCAGUGGGGAAUAUUGGGCAAUGGGCGCAAGCCUGAUCCAGCAACGCCGCGUGAAGGAAGAAGGCUUUCGGGUUGUAAACUUCUAUUCUCAGGGACGAAGCAAGUGACGGUACCUGAGGAAUCAGCCACGGCUAACUACGUGCCAGCAGCCGCGGUAAUACGUAGGUGGCAAGCGUUAUCCGGAUUUACUGGGGGUAAAGGGCGUGUAGGCGGGGACGCAAGUCAGAUGUGAACACCACGCGCUCAACCUGUGGCCUGCAUUUGAAACUGUGUUUCGUGAGUACUGGAGAGGCAGACGGAAGUCCUAGUGUAGCGGUGAAAUGCGUAGAUAUUAGGAGGAACACCAGUGGCGAAGGCGGUCUGCUGGACAGCAACUGACGCUGAGGCGCGAAAGCGUGGGGAGCAAACAGGAUUAGAUACCCUUGUAGUC